GACGAACGCUGGCGGCGUGCCUAAUACAUGCAAGUAGAACGCUGAAGCUUGGUGCUUGCACCGAGCGGAUGAGUUGCGAACGGGUGAGUAACGCGUAGGUAACCUGCCUGGUAGCGGGGGAUAACUAUUGGAAACGAUAGCUAAUACCGCAUAAGAGUAGAUGUUGCAUGACAUUUGCUUAAAAGGUGCAAUUGCAUCACUACCAGAUGGACCUGCGUUGUAUUAGCUAGUUGGUGAGGUAACGGCUCACCAAGGCAACGAUACAUAGCCGACCUGAGAGGGUGAUCGGCCACACUGGGACUGGGACACGGCCCAGACUCCUACGGGAGGCAGCAGUAGGGAAUCUUCGGCAAUGGACGGAAGUCUGACCGGGCAACGCCGCGGGAGUGAAGAAGGUUUUCGGAUCGUAAAGCUCUGUUGUAAGAGAAGAACGAGUGUGAGAGUGGAAAGUUCACACUGUGACGGUAUCUUACCAGAAAGGGACGGCUAACUACGUG
rnacentral:rRNA from 1 species